UUGCCUGCCUGCAUGAUAGAUGAUCCUUAAUGAGACAAAUGAUUGCAGCCAAUUUGAACCAGUAGAGUGACUUUAACCUGCCCGCUCAGGUCUAUUACACAGCCACUCGUGAAGUUUAAAAAAAGUCUUUAUAGGUUUUCAUGUUGUUCCAAGAAAAUGCAAUAAUACAAUAGACCCAAAGUAUGUGUGUUUGUUAUAAGGCUAGUAUGUAACAAGUCCUACUGAAUUAAUCUUGAACUGAUUUUAAUUUGCAGAAUACAGUUUAGUGCAAAACAUUCACCAAGAUUUUUCAGAUUUUUUAAAUAUUGCAUUGUUGCAUAUUGCACUGGAGAUGUUGCUUCCUUAUUUAUGUAUUAGUAUUCUUGUAGUUGUAAUCUAUAGGCUAUAUCUUAUACCGGAGCAUAAGGAUCUUUAAACCCCAUUUUUUACACGGGGAAAAAAAAAUCCAACAGAAAUAAAUCGGCUUAAUGGACAGAAUUAGAGUGGUCUGAAUCCAGGGUAGGAUUAAGGAAAAUUGUGUGAAAUUAAAGAGCGAGUGAUCGGGAAUCACUGUGCGUCUGUCUGGAGGGCGGGAGAGCAGAGAGAGCAAGAGAGAGAGAGAGAGGGGGAGAGAGAGAGAGAGAGAGAGAGAGAGAGGAACACAUUUUCAUCCAAACCUCCGUUUUUUCCAGAGCCUAUCUCUGCUCCGCGGCUCACCGCAGCUCCCUAUUGUUUAAACUGGGAGGGAAAAAAUAACACUCCGCUUGUUCUGUAAUCGCAGCCAGUGACUCAUUUUGGGUUUUUUUUUUGAUCUGAUGCUCGGUUUUCGCCGCUCUGAAUGCCGUAUUCAUUGUCAACUUCUCCGAUUUUCUCCACUUAGACUUGAGCUGCAUCAUGAAUAGUUUGGGGGCAUCUUUCAAUCGCAUACCUUUGGAAUGGCGGGGAUUACACAGCCGAACCCCGGAGAGCAUGUAAACGCAAAUGGAGUUUGGGAUUUAUUGCAAAAUAAGGGAAAGAUGACCGUCUUCUCAUUGUGCUUGCUCUUGUGCGCGGAUCUACUGGAUUUAGCCGUCGGACAGCCGGAUGGAGGCGAUCGGUGCCAUUCUUGCCUCAUGCCAACUUUCCCCCUCCGUGCCAAACAAGUCGUGGAGGAGAGAAAUCAAUGAAUAAUGGUCGGAUUCAGCUCAGGCUGCUCAGUGCGUGGUGUCGGAGUGCUCAAAGGAAAUGCAAAAAGAGAGGGUAGCAGGAGGCCUGGUUAUGUAUUAAGUCUUAAUUCCUCUGCAUUGACUAUCACGACCAGCAUGCAUGACAGCACCUACUUCUGAGCACCACGCAACUAAACCAUGCUGAAGCGCACUCCUUGGCGGUCUGGUCAUCGUGGCUUUUGCACAUCAGAUAGCGCACGGUGGGCUCAACAGAUAUUAAAGUUGUUGCCUUGGGAAACACUAAAGUGCCUCUUUUUUCUUAUUUUUUUGGAAUGCAGAUGUCUGUUUCCUGUGCGAUCUGCUCAGCACAGCGGUGGCAUCAGUGUCGCUCAGUGUUUUCUCUCUGUUCUCCGUUGACGUGUUUAGAUGUUAGAAGAUGAAAACACAGCAUUCAUAAUUUUUCAUGAAAGCGAAUUUGGAUUUGGCAUAAUAUAUGUAUAUCCUAAAUAAUUAUCAGGCUGUCUUCUGCAGGAUUGUCUUGUCUAAUUUUUUUGGGGGGGGCAGUGGUAAUGGGACUGGGGAUGUUAUACUGCAAUUUAGGUGAAGCCAGUGUUAUUCAAAUAUUUGCAACAGAUAAGGACCUGGUGGCAGUGAUUUAAGCAUGUUCCUUUACUGCUGGGACAUUGCUUGGUCCCGUGGCAUUUGAAGGCAGUUUGUUUUUCUACAUGGUGCCAUACAUCAAGAGCUUGCAUUACAAGACUGCGUUGCAAUCACUUGAUUUCCUUACUGAGAAAUAUAGAAAGAGUGUCUUAAGGCUCCCUUACAUUCUGCUGGAGUUAGGCUCUCACUCAGUGCACUGGUGGUAACACCGUGGUGUUUGAAGGACUUCUGAGGAGAGUUGACUCCUGGCUACAACAUCAGAGUAGCAUGCCUUUACAAACUACCCUGUUAACCUGCGCUGUUAGCCAAGGAUUUUAUUGUUUUGAAGUGUUUUUGACCUUCGCUGACCCAUAUAGAAAAUCAUUAUGUCAGUAGAGCUUAACAUAAUGUUAGGUGAUGAAAUGCCUCAGUGUCUGCCUUGCUCAGAUGAUGCUGAACUACACACAAGCCAUGCACUGUGUGAAGUAUUUAGGAUUAACUCAAUAAUGCAAUCAUGUUCAUUUGAAAUGUUCACAACAGCUUAAAUUACUUUGGUUUCAUUACAUUGAUACACUUGAGUGACUGAGAUUUUCCAAGCAGGAGUUCACAUUGAUCGCCAUGUAAACAAACAAUGACAGGUACAAUUUAAUUGAUCAAUCGGCAUGAUUUGAGUUGUAGUGAAUUUCGGUCAGACUGCACGGUUGUUGUUGCCGUUUGUUGUCACUACCGUUGUAACAAAUAGAUGUAUGCUGUGGAAACACCUUAGGAUUUCACCUUCAUUGCCUGUUUUUUUCCCCAAGCAGUAUUCUUUAUAUAAUCUGAUGUCUGCUGUCUUCUGGAUAUCACAUUCAGUUCAUACCAGUGUACAAUUUCCUUGUGUGUGUAUGUGUGCGUGUGUGUGUGUUUUAACAAGAUCAAUGUUUCUUUAUUUCCAUUUGUGCACCAGUGUCUUAAGAUAGAUUUUGUUCCCCAAAGAGGGGACCGGUGGUCAGUGAUUCCACUCUCAUCUCUAUCUUCAAAUGUCAUGCAUUUUUAUUUUUCCCAACAGUUUCUUUCAUGUCAGUAAAAAAAUAAAAGAGAAAUGAUACAUACAAUAUCUCAUUUUAGAAUGAAACUCCUUGCAGCCCAUACACCAUUACUGUCUGCCAGAUGUGUGCUUCUUUUAGAAACUUCAGUACAGCUCCCUGCUUAAUGCAGCAAACUAGCCUCAGCUAGUGAGGUUUUAUGCUUGGCUGUUAAGGGUGUCACUGAGUCACUGUUUCAAGAGUAGGCUACAUAUUCAGUGGCUGUAUGGUUAGAGUUUCUCCAGGGGUUACAUUUGACUUGUUAUGCAUGCACAUUUAUAUAUCUACUGUAUAUCUGUGAACACUGGAGUGUAUGAGUAUGUGUCUUUUCGCAGACAUGCAAUGUAAAAGAACAAGAAAUAUAGAAUCUUAUGCAGGCGCUCUGCAUGACAUAAAUGUGUAGUAAAGUGUACCCACAGCUUCUCUUAAGCAUUGGCACAGUUUCAUGUGUCCAUGUUCACAACUUGUAGCUAUGUCUUCAGCCUCCAGUACACCUGUUAAAUCUGAUUGACAUUCGCAACAUCGGGGCAGACACACCAUUACAUAGACUGAUGUCACUACCGUGCUUAUCCUGUAGGUCAAACAUUUAUACAGAAUCCAAGAAUCCAAUCCAAGAGAAUUGAACAGCAUUGGCUUCUGAAUUGACACAGAUGACCUAAUAGCGUACUUUAAACUCUAGAAAGAUCUUAUAUUGCACAGAAUCAUGAAAACCAUUCUUAUUGGUUAAAGAUAAUUUUGUGAAUGCACCAAUUUACUUUCUUGCAAGGAGUUCAAUGUAACCACUCUCGUAUCUGUCCAUUAAAUACAGUCAGCAGACACUUAGCUUAGCUUAGCAAUACAGAUGGAAGCAAGGGAGAAACAGCUAACCUGGCCCUGUCCGGAAGAAACAAAAUCCUUACAUCCAUUACACUACAGCGCCUAGCCAAGAAAGAAGACAUUUUUCUUUAAACUAUGGAAGCACCAGCCAGGUCAGAGCAAGCAUGGGAGUACUUUUACUUUGCCACGAGUUGUCUCAUGAGAUGUCACAUAAGAUAAAGGCUGU
rnacentral:lncRNA from 15 species